rnacentral:rRNA from 2 species
UACGUAGGGUGCGAGCGUUGUCCGGAUUUAUUGGGCGUAAAGAGCUCGUAGGCGGUUUGUCGCGUCGGCCGUGAAAACCUGCAGCUUAACUGUGGGCGUGCGGUCGAUACGGGCAGACUUGAGUUCGGCAGGGGAGACUGGAAUUCCUGGUGUAGCGGUGAAAUGCGCAGAUAUCAGGAGGAACACCGGUGGCGAAGGCGGGUCUCUGGGCCGAUACUGACGCUGAGGAGCGAAAGCAUGGGGAGCGAACAGG